rnacentral:lncRNA from 1 species
AAUGACCAAAAAGAGAGAGCCGAAAUUGUAAUCUAUGGUUAAUUAUUAGACAAAGACAAUAAGAAUAAACAAGUACAGCAAUAGUAAAUAAAUCAAAAAUAAUAAAAUAAUAUUCUAAAAAUGUAAAAAAAUAAACAUUUUAUGUUUCUCUAUGAUUUUGGUGUUGUAAAUUGUAUAUACCAGAGAAAAGGUACAUUAUGCAAUUACUAAAUAGUUCCUAUAUUACUUAUUACUUAGGUUCUCUCCACGAUUUUAUUCCUAUAAUUUUCAAUUCCUUAUGGGCGAUUUAAGUUUAUAUCUGAAUUGGGUAUACUCUGAACUGAAAUUGGUUUAUUCAUUUGCCUCUCUACUGAUAUUUCCCUUUAGAAACUAUGGAUAAUAUAGAUGAAGUAACAGUUUUAAAAAUCAGGGAUUUAUGUGAGGUGAUAUGUUUGAAAAACCCUGUUUUAUACAAGGAGUUGAGUUACAAGAUGAAUAUUUAAAAAUUGUACCAUUA